rnacentral:tRNA from 1 species
GUUUUUAUAGUUGAAUAACAACGAUGGUUUUUCAAGUCAUUGGUCUUGGUUAGAGUCCAGGUAAAAAUU